rnacentral:lncRNA from 1 species
ACGAAGGUCUUCCACAAACCGAGUUGUAAGAGUCUUUUCAGUAUGACUCUUACUAGGUCCAACCCUUGAUUUAGAAGGUUGUGGACCAUCCUUAUUUUUCUCCCCAGAUGGAGAAUUAUGAGAGGCCGAUUCACCCGCUCCUUCGCGGGCAACGGUCCUCUGACUCCUCGCUUUCUCGAGGUUGUUCAUCCUUUGUUCCAUGUUCUCC